rnacentral:rRNA from 1 species
AGCGAACGCUGGCGGCAGGCCUAACACAUGCAAGUCGAACGAACCUUUCGGGGUUAGUGGCGGACGGGUGAGUAACACGUGGGAACGUGCCUUUAGGUUCGGAAUAACUCAGGGAAACUUGUGCUAAUACCGAAUGUGCCCUUCGGGGGAAAGAUUAAUCGCCUUUAGAGCGGCCCGCGUCUGAUUAGCUAGUUGGUUGAGGUAAUGGCUCACCAAGGCGACGAUCAGUAGCUGGUCUGAGAGGAUGAUCAGCCACAUUGGGACUGAGACACGGCCCAAACUCCUACGGGAGGCAGCAGUGGGGAACCUUGCGCAAUGGGCGAAAGCCUGACGCAGCCAUGCCGCGUGAAUGAUGAAGGUCUUAGGAUUGUAAAAUUCUUUCACCGGGGACGAUAAUGACGGUACCCGGAGAAGAAGCCCCGGCUAACUUCGUG